rnacentral:rRNA from 1 species
AGUAACACGUGGAUAACCUACCUAUAAGACUGGGAUAACUUCGGGAAACCGGAGCUAAUACCGGAUAAUAUAUUGAACCGCAUGGUUCAAUAGUGAAAGACGGUUUUGCUGUCACUUAUAGAUGGAUCCGCGCUGCAUUAGCUAGUUGGUAAGGUAACGGCUUACCAAGGCAACGAUGCAUAGCCGACCUGAGAGGGUGAUCGGCCACACUGGAACUGAGACACGGUCCAGACUCCUACGGGAGGCAGCAGCA